UAUACUGAUAAUUUAUGGUAUCAAGUAUUGGGUAAAUCAAGAAACAAUAUUUAUAUAAAGUGUGCGUCAUAAAUGAAAAUUAGAAAUACCAAACACCCUCUAAAUUAAAGAAACAUAUAUAAAAAUAAGGAAAAUAAAUUUGUCAUAUAAUAUAUACUCCUGCGAAAGAAAAGAAGAGUAAAAAAAAAAAAACUACCACCACAGCCGCCGCCACCGGCUUUCGGAUGCAACCGCCCUCCGCCGUCCCCCGUCGUACCACCAUUACUGUUUCAUCCUGUUUGUCAUCUCAGUGGGUCAAGCUCUAAUUGGUUUACAAGAUGCUUGGGGGUUAGCAAGGGGCUUGUGCUGCUAGGAGAACCAAACAUGCCUUGAAAGAUGAGCCCCUGUGCCUAACAGGGUACAUUAAAGGAGUGGAAUAGAUCUACUAUCGAGGAAGUGAAGUUGAUUUUAUAGGUCAAAUGGAUUUUUUGGCAGGACUUUAACUUUAGGCUUUGAUACCUUGUUUGCACAUGGGAAUGUUUCAUACGGUAUACCAGACACGGAGUUACAAUGCUAAAGAGAAGGUGAAAUACAUGAUAUGGACCAAUGAAAUGGACCACUGUUUCUCCAAGAUACUUGUAGAGCAUGUAAAAAAGGGAAAUCAAUUAGAUAACACUAUAAAGCCUGCAACAUAUGCAGCCGCACUAGCAAUUUGGAACAAAAAAUUCGGACUUGAG